GACAGAGGGUGCAAACGUUGUUCGGAAUUACUGGGCGUAAAGCGCGUGUAGGCGGCCCUGCAAGUCGGGUGUGAAAUCCCAUGGCUCAACUAUGGAAGUGCACUCGAAACUGCAGGGCUAGAGUCCUGGAGAGGAAGGUGGAAUGCUUGGUGUAGAGGUGAAAUUCGUAGAUAUCAAGCGGAACACCGGUGGCGAAGGCGGCCUUCUGGACAGUGACUGACGCUGAGGAGCGAAAGCCAGGGGAGCAAACGGG
rnacentral:rRNA from 1 species